UGUAUGUAUGUAUAUGUAUAUCCAGCUGAUCAUCUCCUAGAGUCGAUCAUGAGGACUUGGAGUAGCAGUAAAAAGAUGGUUCCCAAGGCAUCCCUCAUCAUCCUCUUCAUUUUGCUCUUUAUUUUGGAAGCCAGAUCAGCAACACCAUUACCCGAUUAUGAUCUGAUGCACGAGCCCAAGCCCAAGAGCGAUGAACAUGAUCGGAAAUCUAAUUAUUGUUCAGAACCGGCUUCAGGUGGUCAUGAACUACAGUGGUCGCUCGGCUCGGUCAGAUGUACUUGUUCUAGGCAGGUCGACGUCGAUCUUUAAUGUACUUACAUUGUUAUCUGAAUCUUCGCUCGUAUGUGGUUGUGAGAUAAGAAUAAGAUGUUAAUGUAAUAUAUAUGUAAACUCUUGUGUGUAUAAUAACGGCCAACUGGGUUUUCUUGGUGACUAGAAACCUUAAAGCCUAAGAAAGAAAAGACCAUAUGUAUGUUUUCAUCAAGCAGUAAGCCUUUUGUGUUAUAUUCAUGCUUGCUUAAAUGAGUGCUGUAUGUUUCUUC